rnacentral:SRP_RNA from 1 species
GCCGGGCGUGGUGGCUCACGCCUGUAAUCCCAGCACUUUGGGAGGCCGAGGCGGGUGGAUCACCUGAGGUUGGGAGUUCUCGACCAGCCUGACCAACAUGGAGAAACCCUGUCUCUA